CAAGUUCAUAUACCUUUUUGUGAGCUGUAAAUGAGGGUCUUGAAUACUUGCCAUCCCCUGGUUGUGAUAGUUUCCGCUUCGCUGUGCAAGCGUUAAGGCUUUGGAGUCAUGAAUGUGUUGGCUGCGUCGCCAACUGCAUGUUGGUUCAUGCCCUGAUUCGUGGAUACAACUUGCCGUUAUUCUCCAAGAAGUGCACCGACCCAGCCACAAUAUCGCGCUUUUUUACUUCACAUGGAAUUAAAGACUUUUGGAUGUUCUUCCAUUCGUCUUACAUUCGAGGGAUUUUAUUGACGGUAGCUGAUCGAAAGUAUUGUGUCCAUCAUGGACCAUGCCUCCGAUCAUGAAUGUGGAUUGACUGAUGGGCAAUGCCAUGGAGAACACAUCUUCCUACUUACGUUAUGGACUAUUUUUAUAAAUUUGAUCCAAAUAUCAUAAUUCUAAAAUCUUUGUACCCUUCACACGACAGAUGUGCCAGUAGUGCGCAUCCUAAGAAUUAUGUUUUUGCCAAAUUUUGCCACUCUAAACACGAGAAAGCUCAGGAAGCAGCAAUAAGGUACGCAUAUUAUCUCUUUUCUUAGUCGAAUUCUGAUGGAGAUUAGGCCAAUAACACACGCAGAGUGAUCCACAUGAAUUUUUAGCUCAUGAAACUGAACGGGUGGUGUCGGAUUAAACUAGACAAGCCUCCGAUGUAGCUUUUGAAACACCCGACAGAUCCUGAUGAUCCUCGGCAUUGUUCGGCCUGGUGGACUUGUGAGAUUACUAUUCUACGAUUGGUCACCAUGGCUCCUUUUGAGUCUCUGCAGGAAUUCUCAUUCUUUCGGAGGAGUUUUCAACACUUUGAGUCUCGUUUGUUUCUUUGUUUCUUUUUUUCUUUUUUCGACACAGCCGGGAUAUACCCGGUGCAUUGAAUAGUGUGUGUGCUUUAAGUCUGGUUUUGAACGCAAGGGUUGAAAACCGAGUCGAUAUGCAAUGCGAAAUUGGAUGUUAGAAAAAGACUUGGGGUGCAAAUAAAUUCUAGAAAUCAAUCUACAUCUGUGGUCGGAUAUCAGUCUCCUGGUCAGAUUUCCACCGUGGUCAGACUUACGAUGCAAUAGUUAUGUUGCAACAUUUAGCUUCAAUUGUUUAGACCACUAUUGCGGGAUAGAAUCAUGCGCAUUCUUCUUGUUGAUUUACAAUUCUCUCCAGCAGGAGCCCGAGGAAGAGGAUUCCGUUCAGCUAGUGUGCACGUUGGAUUAGGACUAGAUAAAGAAAAUCUAAUAGUACAUGCGAGUUAAGGAGUCGCUACAAUCCGAAAAUCUUUUAAUUCUGUCAUGGACGAUACUGAGCAAGGCAUCAACAUCAUUUGCUAAGAGCUCACUAAAUUCCAACAUUCAGCCGGCACGCCAUUUUGCAGAGGUCUGCUCUUGUCCCCCAAAAGAAAUUUGUUCUGUUUGCUCUUGGAGACCAACUUUACUCCCGGUGUGUGAGCAACCCACGUCAGCAUCCAUGACGCGCUUCAUCAGCUCUCAUAUCACAUGAUUCUCAACAGUUUUUCUUCCCAUCCCCAAUACACAUUUUAAUAAGCUCAACAGGGUCGUUGGGUUCGAUGACACUCGACCCUCACGAAGGUCUCAGUGGUUUUCCUGGACCUGUUUCACGAUGAGUUCACUCAUAGAACAGAUGCGUUAAAAUGUCGGCUGUGUUCUAGGUUAUGCCUUUGACAUGAUAACGUUUACUAAACCUUGCGUUCUGAGACGAUGACUGCUUCUGUUCCACAGUACGGAGCGCAUGGAAACUGCAGGUUGCAGGGCUAGGCUACGUCACACAGUUUGGAAAAGCCCCAGUUCCAAUGAAGAGCACGAGAAGGAGGAGAGGGAAGUUCUGCAACAUCCAAGAGAAAGGUUCGGUUCACAUUAACACCCUGGGAUCUCCAAAUAUCCAAAAAGACUAGUAAGCUCGAUCCAGCGGCGCGCCAACGUUCCUCUCGACUGCAACUCACAACGCAAAAAGCCUAUGCAUGGUCUAACACGGGUCCCACACCGUGUCCUGCAAGGUCACUGGAAAGUGUGGUUCCGUCACCGUGAGGCUGGUCCCUGCCCCCAGAGGUUCUGGUAUUGUGGCUGCUCGUGUGCCCAAAAAGGUCUUGCAAUUCGCCGGUACUGAAGACGUGUUCACAUCCUCGCGCGGGUCGACUAAAACCCUUGGAAACUUCGUCAAGGCUACUUUUGAGUGCCUCCUGAAGACCUAUGGAUUCUUGACCCCUGAUCUCUGGAGAGAAACUCGGUUCUCUAAGUCGCCGUUCCAGGAAUUUACCGACUUCCUUGCUAAGCCUCACAAGAUUAGCGUGGUGGAGGACGUCGAGAAGACUCCAGUUUACUGAGGGAACAUCAAGUCAUGUUACAUGCGCCUAAUCUUGCUCGCACUUCCUUUCAGGAGUGGUACAUUCUGGAAAGUAAAGCACCAGUUUUGAAGCAUUCUCUUGUAUUGUUUAUUGUUGGAGUUUAUCUUAGUCCAUUUAAUCUUCAGCGAACUAGUGUUAAACAGUGGAGUGGUUUGAUUGUCCUAUUUAGACAUCAAUCCCCGUGAUGCUUUUACACAGUAACACCGUUCCUGUUUUCCAUUGUGACUAUCUCGUCUGCUGACUAUUUUCUGUGACGAUAAAAUGAACUUUACAAGUGUAGUCGCUGCACUCGUGAGCUGUGCACCUGUUCGGAAUAUGUGGGGAUUUUAUUCCAGUAUCAUUCCAAGUGAAUGUGGGUGACGAAUUCAGAA